GACCACGUAGCUCAGUUGGCAGAGCAUUGGGCUAGCAUUCCAACGGUCGUAGGUUCGACUCCCACCGUGGUCA
rnacentral:tRNA from 1 species